AUACGUAGGUGGCAAGCGUUGUCCGGAAUUAUUGGGCGUAAAGCGCAUGUAGGCGGUGCCUUAAGUCUGUCGUGAAACUGCGGGGCCUAACCCCGUAUGGCGAUGGAAACUGUGGCACUUGAGUGCAGGAGAGGAAAGGGGAACUCCCAGUGUAGCGGUGAAAUGCGUAGAGAUUGGGAAGAACACCGGUGGCGAAGGCGCCUUUCUGGAUUGUGUCUGACGCUGAGAUGCGAAAGCCAGGGUAGCGAACGGGAUUAGAUACCCCGGUAGUCCUGGCCGUAAACGAUGGGUACUAGGUGUGGGAGGUAUCGACCCCUUCCGUGCCGGAGUUAACGCAAUAAGUCCCCCGCCUGGGGAGUACGGCCGCAAGGCUUAAACUCAAAGGAAUUGACGGGU
rnacentral:rRNA from 1 species